rnacentral:lncRNA from 1 species
CUUUAAAACCCAAACCAACUGUGAGAGUGGUUUUCUACUUUGAUUCUAGAUGGGAAAAUAUUUUGCUUUUUUGGUGGAUGACAGUGUCAGGUCCCAAAUGGAUUUGGUUUCAUCCUCCAGCACGCAUGCAUAUAACGUGAAACAUGCCCACACUCUGCAAGGGCCACAGCCACCCCACCAUUAUGUUCCAAGGCAAAUAUGCGUCCGCGGGUCCCCGGGAAAGUAAAGGAGUUUCACAUUGAGGAGCCGAGCCACACAGUCUAGCAGUUCUGAUGUCUCUCCAAGGCCCACAGAUCCUGGUCUACUAACUUAAGGCCCCUUUUGUCUAAAAUAGUGAUGUACAUUAAAUGCAAAGGGCAAAUGGAACCAUUGAAAAGUACUUUUUGCAUCCAAAACAGCCAACGCUUUGGUGCCUGCUAUGUGUCAGACACUGAUUCUUCUGUCAUCCUUAUUCUACUGAUGAGGCAACUGAGGCAGCUUCAGAGAGUUCGAGUAACCUGCGGAUCACACAACUAGGAAGUAAGAGAGCUGGAACUUGACGUUGGGCUGUUGACCUCCAGAAAUGGUGUUUUUUCCAGUACUCAGUGCUGCCUCUGACUCCAUUGUGAUGGUUGAUUUUAUGUGUCAACUUGACUGGGCCCAGGGGUACCCAGAUAUUUGGUCAAACAUUAUUCUGGGUGUUUCUGUGAGGGCGUUUUGGGUGAGAUUAACAUUUAAAUUGGUAGACUGAGUAAAGCAGAUGGCC